AAUCAUCUAUCUGUUUUCUGAAAAUUAUGUUUGAGAUAUAUGAAUCACUCUUUACUUCAAACAUCUCAUUAACACCUUUUUUUUUUCUAUUUUUCUAUCAUAUCAUAUCACCUGAUAUACCUACAAUUUUGUAUUCUUUUUUCUCUUUCUCUCAUUAGGUGUCAAAUAGAUGAGAGGGUGUCCAUGAAUCAUUUUUUGUUUGGCAAAUAAAUUCUGAUUGUCCAACAUAUGUCUAGGCACACACGAGACAAGUAACAACCUUGUUUCAUCUUCAUUGACCAGACAAUCAGCAGCACUCAGAAACUUUAAGUUCAUAAUUUACUGCAGGAAUUGUAAUUACCCCCCGCCCCCUAUACUCAUUAGGUGCAUAUACAUCUAGUGAGAGUAUUGUUUAGAUGCAUAAAUAUUAUUGUUGAUAUAGGGGAUUUACCACUACUGUGGAUAGCGCAGCAGAUUCCAUGCCAGCAAAAUUAUCCUCUAUCACGUGUUUAUUAUAUAUAUUGAUCCUUAUCAGGCUCUCAACCGUGCGUGUAUAUAUAUGAAUAUUUGUAUGCACAAGUUGAUACUUUAGCCCCACUGACUGCAACUGGUAUUAAGAAAUGCAAACAAAAUUAAGAAAAAGGAAAAAAUUAAUGACCUAAUCACAUUACCGGAAACUAACACCAAGGUUUAAAAGUCAGCCUCAAAUACCACUUGCACGUGUUAAUUCAGACAGCUAUAGAGUAGGAAAAUCAGUUGCACGAAUACUAUACUAAAACAAAUGUUAAAAUCUUAUCCAUUGAAUUUAAAUUGAAGAUUUAAAAACAAAACCUUUGACAGAAAUCAAAGGCAUGGGAUUACAGCUUAGAAUUCGUACUAAUGAGCAUUUUCCUAAUUCAAAUGGGAGGGGUUGAGGGUUGAAAACAUUUCUAUAUUUGAAGCUAUACAAUAAUUUCUCCAAGCAUAUUAUAAUUUUCUAAUAAGAUAAUUCGGGAUCUAUAUAAACUCCUAGACCUUACACUCUUCCUCAUCCUCAUCUUAAAAACACACUACCUGCUAACAAAGCAUCUUCAGACACAAUGAAUGACCGUGUCCGACAUGCUCCAGCUGCAGAAGUUGCCAACAGGGACAGGUCCCAAGGAGUCACAAAGUCACUUCCAAAAAGAGGGCAGAUUAAGUCCAAGAUAGUGGCAAGUGCCUUUCAUUGCAUCACCAAUGUAAUUUGUCAAGCCUCGUCAGCUGGUGGCCUGCAUUUUCCAAGACAAAAAUAGUCACUUAGCUUGAAGCAGGGCUGAUUAAUGCUUAAGGAUUUUCUUGUUUGUAUAUUGUAUCAUUUAGUUUUUCUCCUUCCUCCUGUAACUUCUAUUGUUGUUAUUAUUAUUAUACACAUGGCUCCAUGCUUUUCCCCCUUCUUGGUUUCCUAUAUACAGCUUUCGAAAAUAAUUUAAUCCAACCUAUAUAUAUAAAGGAUGACAUGCACUAAUAAAUAAGUAAACUUAAGAUAAAAUUGUUACACGCAAAUAGUUUUAUUUUUUAAAAUCCACCAAUGUAUAUAAAAGGGAGUUCGCUUUAAUACACUGCCUUAGUAGCACACACUUAUCACUAUUUUCGUAGUAACUUUAGCUUCCUUCUUUUCUUCUAAUUUUGUAUUCCUUACUUUCUAGCAAGUUUAUAUGGUUGUUUUAUGAUAACGGACUUAAUUAUACUUUAAUGGGAAGGCAUGUCAAACAGCAGGAAAUAAAAGAAAAUAGAAUGGUCUAAUAACAAUAACAAAAUAGCAAGAAAAACUUCAAAAAAACUGAAACAUAAGACUGUAAUUGCAGGAUCUUCCUAUUAGAAAGACCCUUUCAAAAAUAAGCGUAUGCUGCUUUAGGUGACAGAAACACGGUAUUCUUUAGUAAAAGGCGAAAGAAUAGUUCGCUUUGUUUCUAUCACACAGCUCCGUGGUAAGCAUAACCAAUUACCCUUAAUUAUAUAGCAUAGAUAGUUUACUUGCUCUUAGUAUACCAUUCUAUGUGGGCUUUCGGUAAUAAAAUGUAGACACCACACGUUUAACACUCUCCAGUCUCCAAU
rnacentral:lncRNA from 1 species